AUAUGUCCAAGACAUGUUCUGAAUCUCCUCAAAUAAGCAUUGACCUUCCUUGGAACUUGCUUCUUUUUCUUUCUUUUCUUUUUUUUUUUAUUAUACUUUAAGUUCUAGGGUACAUGUGCACAAUGUGCAGGUUUGUUACAUAAGUAUACAUGUGCCAUGUUGGUUUGCUGCACCCAUUAACUCAUCCUUUACAUGAGAUAUUUCUCCUAAUGCUAUCCCUCCCCCAUCCCCCCACCCCACGACAGUCCCCAGUGUGUGAUGUUACCCUCCCUGUGUCCAAGUGUGGAACUUGCUUCUUAAUAGAAGAAGGUCUGCAUUCAAGAGCACAUGGAUCAUUUGAACUCUUGGUUCUGAUUCAGAUCUUCCAACCAAUGAACUUUGCAUAUGGUGAAAUUUUAUCAAAUGAGCUAUGUUGCUCCUGGUCCUUUGAAUUGUUUGACUUCUGAAGAGAACUGUAGUGCAAGGUUUUGCCAACUUUUUGACCAGAACCCUAAGUGAGUAAUAAAUUUUGCACUGCAGCUCAGCACACACACACACCUACCCUCCAAGUAUUUAAUGAAAAAAUAGCUUCCUGUAUUAUGUGCAGUGCACACUGCUAUUCUUUUCUAUUCUGUCCCAUUCAUUUUUUAAAAUAAUAACACCAACCAUUAAAUCACUGGUUGUCAACAUUGGCUGUCUGUUGGAAUGGUCUGAGAAGUUUUAACAGUUUCCAAUGCCUGGGUCUCACUCCCAGAGAUUCUGAUUUACUUGGUCUGGGAUGCGGCCCUAGCCGUGAGAUUUUCAAUGUCCCUAGGAGAAAAAUUUCAUGUGCAAUCCAGAUAGACAACCUGUGCAAUAACCUGGCCCAAAAACAAAUCAUGAUUUGCAAUUUGAAAAACAUAGACAAUGGGUAGUAAUAGACACUAAUUUCCAAAAACAAUAACAUUUACAAGAAGACUAGUUUAUUCACUGAACAAACAAUGUGCCAAGGACCAUCCUGGACACUAAGGAUAUAGAUAUGCUGAAUAUAAUUUCUCUACCCUUGAAGAACUGGUACCCUCCUUUUCAAAAAUGGAACACACCCACGUGCCAGUUCCCAGAUGAAGGGACAGCAAGACCAGCACUCAGAAGCUCCCUGUAUCCCCUUCCAGUCACUGCCCCAUGAGACUGACCACUAAUAUGACCUCCAACAGCAUAGAUUAGUCAUUCUUGUUUUUAUAUUUUAAACAGAUGGAAUAAUACUUUAUGUUCUCUUUUCUGCCUGGCUUCUUUAGGCCAACAUGGUAUUUUUGAGAUUUUUCCAUGUUGUUCAGAGUACCUGGAGUUCAUUCAUUCUCACUGCUGUAUAGUACCCCACAUUCUGUAGGUUACACCUCAAUUAGUUUACUCACUAUUUUUUGGAUGGCAUGUAGGGGUUUCACAGUUUGGGGCUAGGAGCAUUCUAGUACACAGGUCUGGUGAAUAUGUACACAUUUGGUCAGCUAUAUGCCUAGGAAAAGAAUUUCCAGGCCGUAGCUUAAGCUUAACUUUAGAAGAUACAGCCAAACAGUUUUCCAGUUUGGUUGGAAUAACUUGCACACUCAUCCACAAAGUACUUGUGUUCCAGUUGCUCCACAUCUUCAACACUUAACAUGUCAGUCUUUUUCAUUUUAGCCAUUCGGGUGUGUGUGUUAGAAUAGACUUUUGAAAUCAAUUUAUCUAAGUAAGAAAAGCAAGAAGAUUUCUUUAAUUGACUUAUGUAAUGGUUCUGAAUAGUGCAUGGACACCCUCCCUUGAAUCUGAGAGUUCACAGAGAUUCCAAAAUCUUUUGAGAGGUCUGUGUCCUGGGUGAUAUUUCUCUUAAUCAUUGUGCCUCUCUCGCUCUCUCACCCUGCCUUUUGCUCUUGCCCUCUUGCUCUCUGCUUCCUGUAUCCAGCCUGGGUCUGACCUGGCGGGACAUGCAGCAUCUGACUGUGCUCACCUCCAAACGGAACCAGCUUCACGACGAGGUCCAUCAGUGGCGGCGCAAUGGGGUCGGCCUGGAAUUUAAUCACCUCUUUGGCUAUGGGGUCCUUGAUGCAGGCGCCAUGGUGAAAAUGGCUAAAGACUGGAAAACCGUGCCUGAGAGAUUCCACUGUGUGGGAGGCUCCGUGCAGGACCCUGAGAAAAUACCAUCCACUGGCAAGUUGGUGCUGACACUCACAACCGACGCCUGUGAGGGGAAGGAAAAUUUUGUCCGCUACCUGGAGCAUGUCCAGGCUGUCAUCACGGUCAACGCAACCAGGAGAGGAGACCUGAACAUCAACAUGACGUCCCCUAUGGGCACCAAGUCCAUUUUGCUGAGCCGGCGUCCAAGGGAUGAUGACUCCAAGGUGGGCUUUGACAAGUGGCCUUUCAUGACCACUCACACGUGGGGGGAAGACGCCCGAGGCACCUGGACCCUGGAGCUGGGAUUUGUCGGCAGCGCCCCGCAGAAGGGGGUGCUGAAGGAGUGGACCCUGAUGCUGCAUGGCACUCAGAGCGCCCCAUACAUCGACCAGGUGGUGCGGGAUUACCAGUCCAAGCUGGCCAUGUCCAAGAAAGAGGAGCUGGAGGAAGAGCUGGACGAAGCCGUGGAGAGAAGCCUGAAAAGCAUCCUUAACAAGAACUAGCACUGCACAUCCGCCUUUCCCGCCGCCCUCCCUCCCCAGCUCCGCCUCUGUCCUCGCUCCACAUUUCAGGCAGGCACCUAGCAAUUCCAUCACCCCUACAGGCAAUUCCGUCUUCUUAAUCUGAAGCUUCGCUCACUGUCGAUGAUUAUUUUCAUUACAAUGGAAACAAUCUUUUUUACUCUAUGCCCCAAUAUAGCAUUCCCAACAACAUCCAUG
rnacentral:sRNA from 1 species